rnacentral:rRNA from 1 species
CCUACGGGAGGCAGCAGUGGGGAAUCUUUGGCAAUGGGCGCAAGCCUGACCCAGCAACGCCGCGUGAAGGAAGAAGGCUUUUGGGUUGUAAAACUCUUGUCUUGGGGACGAACAAAUGACGGUACCCAAGGCAUAAGCCACGGCUAACUAAGUGCCAGCAGCCGGGGUAAUAAGUAGGGGGCAAGCGUUCUCCGGUUUUAUUGGGUGGAAAGGGAGUGUAGGCGGGAAUGCAAGUCAGAUGUGAAAAAUCAGGGCUCAACCCUUGGCCUGCAUAUGAAACUGUGUUUCUUGAGUGCUGGAGGGGGAAUCGGAAUUCCGGGUGUAGCAGUGAAAUGCGUAGAUAUACGGAGGAACACCAGUGGCGAAGGCGGAUUGCUGGACAGUAACUGACGCUGAGGCGCGAAGGCGAGGGGAGCGAACAGGAUUAGAUACCCGAGUAGUC